AUUGAACGCUGGCGGCAUGCCUUACACAUGCAAGUCGAACGGUAGCGGGCCUUCGGGUGCCGACGAGUGGCGAACGGGUGAGUAAUGCAUCGGAACGUGCCAUUGAGUGGGGGGAUAACGUAGCGAAAGUUACGCUAAUACCGCAUAUUCUGUGAGCAGGAAAGCAGGGGACCGCAAGGCCUUGCGCUCUUUGAGCGGCCGAUGUCAGAUUAGCUAGUUGGUGAGGUAAAGGCUUACCAAGGCGACGAUCUGUAGCGGGUCUGAGAGGAUGAUCCGCCACACUGGAACUGAGACACGGUCCAGACUCCUACGGGAGGCAGCAGUGGGGAAUUUUGGACAAUGGGGGCAACCCUGAUCCAGCCAUGCCGCGUGAGUGAAGAAGGCCUUCGGGUUGUAAGGUACUCUUUUCCGGUCCGGGGAACGGAAAUACGCAUGGGUGAAUACCCUGUGUGGAGUGACGGUACCGGAAC
rnacentral:rRNA from 1 species